rnacentral:rRNA from 1 species
GACGAACGCUGGCGGCGUGCUUAACACAUGCAAGUCGAACGAUGAAGCCGGAGCUUGCUCUGGUGAAUUAGUGGCGAACGGGUGAGUAACACGUGAGUAACCUGCCCUUGACUCUGGGAUAACUGCGGGAAACUGUAGCUAAUACCGGAUACGACCCUCGGAGGCAUCUCCUGGGGGUGGAAAGAAUUUCGGUCAAGGAUGGACUCGCGGCCUAUCAGCUAGUUGGUGAGGUAAAGGCUCACCAAGGCGACGACGGGUAGCCGGCCUGAGAGGGUGACCGGCCACACUGGGACUGGGACACGGCCCAGACUCCUACGGGAGGCAGCAGUGGGGAAUAUUGCACAAUGGGCGCAAGCCUGAUGCAGCAACGCCGCGUGAGGGAUGACGGCCUUCGGGUUGUAAACCUCUUUUAGUAGGGAAGAAGCGAAAGUGACGGUACCCGCAGAAAAAGCACCGGCUAACUACGUGCCAGCAGCCGCCGUAA